ACCCACUUCAGUCACCUACUGCUAGUGUCCUCAUCGAGCUCCAUGGCUCAGCGCAUCAGCUUCCUAGAGGAGUCCCUGGCCCUCCCCGCGCGGAACGCCGGCCUCUUCGCGCCCGUCGUCGCGCUCACCUUCGCGCACACCUUCGUCUUCCUCUCCGUCGCCGUCCUCCGCGUCCACCCUCUCGCCGCUGCCGUCCUGCUCCGCCUGGACGCGCGGGAGAGGAACGCCGACCCCGGCUACGCCACGGACGACGAGAUCCGGGAGCGCGGCAAGAUGCUCGCCCUCCUCUACCUCGCGUACUUGGCCAGCAAGCUCGCCACGCAGGUCUCGGCCGUCCUCGCCGCCUCCGUCACGCACUCCGGCGAGCGGUCCAAGUACAGGACCCGCCGCGCCCCCUUCUUCGUUGCCGUGGCCUUCGUGGCCACUCUAGAGCUCGCGUCCGCGGCUCUGCUGGCGCUCGCGUCUUGGUCCUGGUGGGGGCGCGCCGGCCACUCGGGCGGCGCCGGCGCGUCUUCCUCGUCGGUCUGCCUCCUCCUCGCUCUCCUCUUGCACCUCUGCCUCGGCGCGGUCCUCCCGGUGAGCAUCGCCGCGUCAUCGGCAGUGGCGGCGGCAGAGGAAGACUGCGGCGUGGGCGCUCUCCGGCGGGUGUGGCGGCUCGUGGCGGCGAGGGGAAAAGAGGCGUUCGUUCUGGCGCUCGCGGCGAGCCUCCUGCCCGGCGUCGCUAUCUAUCCGGUCUACGCGCUCGUUCUCGAGUUCGCACAGAGCAGGGCCGCCAUUGUCACAUUCGAUCUGGAGUUGGCACGGAGCGACACCGUAUGGGUGUUGGGCGUCAUGUAUGUCUAUCUUCUCCCGGCCGUCGGUGCGCAGUUGUACUCCACGGUGGCGGCAACGGUGUUCUAUCGCCGGUGCGUGGAGCGCCAUCAUGAACCCACCAUUCCAUUGACGAUGAAUCAGUAG
rnacentral:rRNA from 1 species